UGAGGAAUAUUGGUCAAUGGGCGAGAGCCUGAACCAGCCAAGUAGCGUGAAGGAUGAAGGCUCUAUGGGUCGUAAACUUCUUUUAUAUGGGAAUAAAGUUUUCCACGUGUGGAAUUUUGUAUGUACCAUAUGAAUAAGGAUCGGCUAACUCCGUGCCAGCAGCCGCGGUAAUACGGAGGAUCCGAGCGUUAUCCGGAUUUAUUGGGUUUAAAGGGAGCGUAGGUGGAUUGUUAAGUCAGUUGUGAAAGUUUGCGGCUCAACCGUAAAAUUGCAGUUGAAACUGGCAGUCUUGAGUACAGUAGAGGUGGGCGGAAUUCGUGGUGUAGCGGUGAAAUGCUUAGAUAUCACGAAGAACUCCGAUUGCGAAGGCAGCUCACUAGACUGUUACUGACACUGAUGCUCGAAAGUGUGGGUAUCAAACA
rnacentral:rRNA from 1 species